GACGAACGCUGGCGGCGUGCCUAAUACAUGCAAGUCGAGCGGACGGAAGGAGAGCUUGCUCUCUGGAAGUUAGCGGCGGACGGGUGAGUAACACGUGGGCAACCUGCCUCAUAGAUGGGGAUAACACCGAGAAAUCGGUGCUAAUACCGAAUAAUAGAGCGGAGCGCAUGCUCCGCGCUUGAAAGUCGGCUUUGAGCUGACACUAUGAGAUGGGCCCGCGGCGCAUUAGCUAGUAGGUGAGGUAACGGCUCACCUAGGCGACGAUGCGUAGCCGACCUGAGAGGGUGAUCGGCCACACUGGGACUGAGACACGGCCCAGACUCCUACGGGAGGCAGCAGUAGGGAAUCUUCGGCAAUGGACGAAAGUCUGACCGAGCAACGCCGCGUGAGUGAUGAAGGU
rnacentral:rRNA from 1 species